rnacentral:rRNA from 1 species
UACGUAGGGGGCAAGCGUUGUCCGGAUUUAUUGGGCGUAAAGAGCGUGUAGGCGGUUCGGUAGGUCCGUUGUGAAAACUCGAGGCUCAACCUCGAGACGCCGAUGGAAACCAUCGAACUAGAGUCCGGAAGAGGAGAGUGGAAUUCCUGGUGUAGCGGUGAAAUUCGUAGAUAUCAAGCGGAACACCGGUGGCGAAGGCGGCCUUCUGGACAGUGACUGACGCUGAGACGCGAAAGCGUGGGGAGCAAACAGG